CAACAACUCCCAAAUCAAACGGCACACACGCCGUGCUGGUCUGAGCAAAUUAAAAAUAUUUUUUGUUCAGAUGAAAGAACUCGAAGCUUUCAUUGGCUCUUGUCAAAGCGGUGACGCACGCUCGUGCUGUAUUCAGUAUGGAUGCUGCUUAGUGCACUUCUACCCACCACUGUUAAAAACACCACCGACCGGCCCAAAAUGAUCAUCUACGAGCGCUAUUUUUGUCUCUGUCUGACAGCCUGAGGUAAAAAAAAAAAUCAAGAUGACUGACAGCGGGGAUCUCUGUCCUCACUUGGACUCUAUUGGAGAAGUUACUAAGGAGGAACUGAUUCAGAAAUCAAAGGGCACAUGCCAGUCAUGUGGAGUAGGUGGACCCAAUCUCUGGGCCUGUCUACAGUGUGACUGUUCCUAUGUAGGCUGUGGAGAAUCGUAUUCCGAUCACAGCACCAUACAUGCACAGGCCAAAAAACACAACCUGACGGUAAACCUGACCACGUUCAGGGUGUGGUGUUAUGUCUGUGAGAGGGAGGUGUUUCUGGAACCGAAGCCUGUUGCUCCUGUAUCAUUAGCUCACCGCUGCAAACCACACGAACAGGAUCGUCUUCCCCAGACAGCAUGCCACCCGUUAAAAGCAGUGCCUAUUGCAGUGGCGGAUGAGGAAGGCUCAGAAUCUGAGGAGGAUGAACUCAAACCUAGAGGUCUCACCGGGAUGAAGAACAUUGGGAACUCCUGUUACAUGAACGCUGCGCUGCAGGCCCUCUCCAACUGUCCUCCUUUGACUCAGUUUUUCCUGGAUUGCACUGGUUUGGUCCGUACGGAUAAGAAGCCGGCGUUGUGUAAAAGCUAUCAGAAGCUUAUCUCUGAGCUCUGGCACAAGAAACGGCCAAGUUAUGUUGUGCCCACUAGUCUGUUUCAUGGAAUCAAACUGGUGAACCCCAUGUUUCGUGGCUACGCUCAACAGGACACUCAGGAGUUUUUGCGAUGUCUGAUGGACCAACUUCACGAGGAGCUGAAGGAGCCUUUGGCCGACUGCAGCGGUGCGAUCUCCGAUGUCGAGCCCGACCACAACCUUGACAGCCGUAGCCAUGUCGAUGGAGACCGAAGCCCUUCUGAGGAUGAGUUCCUGUCGUGUGACUCUGGAUCAGGAAGCGAGAGAGGAGACGCAGAGAGAGCGGGAGGAGAAGCAGAGCUGCUCAUCCAAGAUGAAUGUGUGGGAGUGAGAGGAAAUGGAGUAAUCUCGGAGAAAGAGAGACUGAAGGAGAGGAGAGGAGAAGAGAGGACACGGGAAUUGGAUGAGGAUGCAGAUGUGGACACGACUACACAAGAGGGACAGGCAGAGAGAGAAACCGAGACAACAACUACAACCACACAUACGCCGGCACCAGGAAAUACAGAACCCGAUAAUGAAGCCUCCAUGCAUUGUUCAUCGUCUCGUCCCUGCAGCCCUGCUCACAGCGUGCAGGAACUUCACUCCAGACUCUCCAGCAGCCCACCGAGAUCCAGCCCCCUCAGAGCUGGACCCACUUAUACUUUCAAGAAAGCUCAGAUGCUCCUGAGCACCAAGAAGAAGAAGCAGUCCCGUUUCCGCAGUGUUAUUUCAGAUAUUUUUGACGGAUCCAUUCUGAGUCUUGUUCAGUGUUUGACAUGUGACAGGGUUUCAACGACUGUGGAGACCUUUCAGGACCUCUCUUUGCCUAUUCCGGGUAAAGAGGAUUUGGUCAAACUCCAUUCCUCCAUCCACCAGAGCGCUCCUGUUAAAGCUGGUGUCUGCGCAGAAGGCUACGCCACCCAGGGCUGGAUCUCCUACAUCAUGGAUUCUAUACGAAGGUUUGUAGUGUCGUGUAUUCCCAGUUGGUUUUGGGGCCCGAUGGUAACGCUGGAGGACUGCCUGGCUGCCUUCUUUGCUGCUGAUGAGCUGAAAGGAGACAACAUGUACAGCUGUGAGAGAUGUAAAAAGUUGCGAAAUGGUGUGAAAUAUUGUAAAGUUCUGCGUCUGCCAGAAAUACUGUGCAUUCACCUGAAGCGUUUUAGGCAUGAAGUUAUGUACUCAUUCAAGAUAAACAGCCAUGUGUCGUUCCCAUUGGAGGGUUUGGAUCUUAAGCCCUUCUUGGCUAAGGAGAGCCCAUCUCAGAUUACUACCUACGAUCUACUGUCUGUCAUCUGUCAUCACGGCACAGCUGGGAGUGGUCAUUAUAUAGCGUACUGUCAGAAUGUGAUCAAUGGACAGUGGUACGAGUUUGACGAUCAGUAUGUAACAGAAGUUCAUGAGACGGUAGUGCAGAAUGCUGAAGCGUAUGUUCUCUUUUACAGGAAGAGCAGUGAAGAAUCCGUGAGAGAAAGACAGAAGGUUGUUGCUCUGGCUAAUUUAAAGGAGCCCAGUCUGCUGCAGUUCUACAUCUCCAGAGAGUGGCUCAACAAGUUCAACACAUUUACUGAGCCCGGACCCAUCACCAACCACACGUUCCUCUGUCAGCACGGAGGAAUCCCUCCUACCAAGUACCAUUACGUGGAUGAUCUGGUUGUGAUCCUUCCCCAAAAUGUGUGGGACUAUCUCUACAACAGGUUUGGGGGAGGCCCGGCCGUGAAUCACUUAUACGUGUGUGCCAUCUGCCAAGUGGAGAUCGAGACUUUGGCCAAAAGGCGGAAACUGGAAAUAGACACCUUCAUCAAGUUAAAUAAGGAGUUUCAAGCUGAAGAAGCGCCUAUGGUCAUCCUGUGUAUCAGCAUGCAGUGGUUUAGAGAAUGGGAGAACUUUGUCAAGGGCAAAGACAACGAGCCGCCAGGCCCCAUUGACAACAGCAAGAUUGCUGUAAUGAAAGGCGGACAUAUCCAGCUUAAACAAGGAGCAGACUAUGGGCAGAUAUCUGAAGAAACGUGGCAGUACUUGUUAAGUAUUUAUGGCGGUGGGCCAGAGAUUGCAGUGCGGCAAACAAUCAGCCCCCCGGACACUGACACGCAUGGUGAGAGGAAGAUAGAGGCAGAGACCAGAGCCCUCUGAAACGGAAAUGAAGACCCAUGUGUGGAUGACCUUUACACACUACGCUUGCAUUUCUCUCACUUCGUGAGCCUUUCUGUGGAUCUGCAAUUCCUGCCGGAGCUCUCCUAGUGUAGGAAAGGGCCUUAUUAAGUGAAUAAACCUGCUCUCAGAUGCACGCAUAAAACAUAUUUAACAUUCAUGAACAAGCUUCAUUCAUGUGCGCUGGUGAUAUGCUUGUUUCUGUUGUCAGCGGGACUAAGGGCAGUGACGUGAGACUUUCUCAGUAGCGCAGAGGUAAAUACAUAAUGCAACACGCAGGACACAUUCAAAUCUUUGUUAGAGCUCCUCGCUGACGUCUGCCUAGGCAAAAUAAGGUUGAUCUUAGUACCUGCAUGUUCAAAGAAGCUUUCCCUGUCACCCAACUCCACUAUAUCCCAAUAACUCGCACUACAAAUGUGACGAAAUCAAGCAUGUUGGUACUGAGUGAAUCAUAAUAUCGGCGAAGGCCUAAACCGUUUUACAUCAAAGUGAGUUCUGUUUAUGCCUCGACUCACUUCCUACCUCCGCGAUCCAUGAAAACAAUGUGCGCUCUGGCCGUCUUUUUGGGAGCUAUACUGUAAGAGGGAUAAGCUUUGAUAUCGCAGAUAUACGUCGGUGCGGACAGAGUUAUAAUUCAGGCUUUAAACAUCUAAAGUAGCAACAGGCUGUGAUGAUAUAAGCGACUUGCCUUUUCACGUCGAUAGUAAAAGAUUUCUUUAAUCUAGGACUGUUUAGUCAAUGCUACUGAAAUCUGACUGUAACUAUCAGGAGGUUUUUCUGCCUUUCAAUAUUGCUUAUUGCUUUAAAGCACUUUAAAAUCCUGUUUUUGGCACCGCUCCGAGCUCUGUCCCAAUCAAGGGAAGUGACUCUUUCCCGGAUAUCCCCAUUUGAGUGCCCCAACUCUGACACAGGGUUGCGCAAGCCAGAAUGUUUCUUCAGUAUUAAAUGGUCUUUAAAAUUUUCUCCAUUUCCUCAGACCGGCAAGAACAUGACUAGUAAUGUACAUCGCGCUCCUGAUGCGCGGUCUGCUAAAAGCUGCAUCGUUCGUACGUUGCGAAUGUUUUAAUGACGCAGCCCCGUGGCCCCAAAUGUAUCGAAACGAAGUGGAUUUCGAAGGGAACGUGCAAUGAGGCGUGUCAGAUGAGUUAGAAACGCUACAGUAAAAAUGCUGUCUUUUCAAACGUAUUCUUUGUACAUAGUAAAAUGUAACCGUUUUUUUAUUUAUGAAUGUCUUUGUUUCUCAUAAGCAGGUCAGAAUUGUGCUGAAUUGCUGAGUUGUGUAUAGGACAACAUGGUCUGUUACAUAUUUUGUUCCAGGAAGCUAAAAAUCCAAGACUGAAGAAAAGAGCAGGAGGAGGAGAAGGAUGCAGAGAGAGACCACCCAUCCGGGGCGUCUGGAAAAAGGAUUGUAAUUUUCUUCCCAAAGCUGGACGACGGUCCGUGUUCAUGGACUGAAAACACCGCAGAGACUUCAGCAACAAUAGGGACAAUGAUCAGAGUCACACCCAGGCUCCACAGGGUGGGAGAACACAGCUUCACUGAUCUUCGACUAUGGCAAAAUAGAGACUGCACUAGCUUUUGAUACCCCAUAUGUUCAUGAAAGUUACGUGAACAAACCAAAAAUAGAGGUGUGGUACUGCAUUUUUGAGAUAAACGAUAUCUCCGUUAUCACAUUUCAGUUUUUCGUGUUUCUAACCGGCGCUACGAGACCGACAUGUUACUGAACACGUUCCAGCGUUUGCACUACUCUUCCUACACUGACCUUGUGACCCUUUAGUAAUACCCUAGCAGUCUUCAGUCUAGUCCUAAAGUCUUUGUGGUCUGUAAUGCACACGCUACAAUGAUUUGACUCACAGUCCUUCUGUCUUUUCUUGUCUCAAUGCAUCCUUUUCAGUUUUCAUUUUGUACUCCGCCUUAUAAUUGUCACUACCUCCAGGCGAGGGUUUGAACAAAGCAUUCCUAGGGAAGACCUACUUAGACUUAGUUGCUUUCUCACGCUCUCUUUUCUUUCCAUAUAACUCUUUUCACACACGGUUUACCAUCAUACGUCGCAUACAAACGUACGACAAGUCCACAACUACGCGACAGCUUGUGCUAGAACGAUUCAUUACCUCCGCACUGCAGACAUGCGUUUCAGCGCGUACCUUUUAAAAGGUGACGUCGUAUAGGGAGAUAGCUUUCCGCGAUCUGCGUCUGACCGCAUAGAACACACAGCAAUGGGUUGUGCCAUUUGCACGCAGUUGAUUGAUAUGUGGAGUAUGUCACGUAGCUCUCGAAGAGGCCAGCCGUCAAUGGACAUGUCUCAUUUGCCAGAGGUCACUCAGCAGGACUACCACAGACUCUCGGGCCUCCACUAUACGUCUUCUUUCUCUGACGCGGAGGACUGUUGCGAUGAAAUCACAAGCACAAGCUCGUCUUCAUCCUCGGACUAUAUCGGAAUAGACUGUUGACACAUGCUGUGGUUCCAGACUUUUGCGGGGCUACUCACAUCUCAUGCCAAAUAUUGCCAUUCUUUUUUUUUGGCUCCCUCAAAAUGUGACAGCGUGAAUGAAAUCUGCUUAGCUUGCCCAAAUUAAACUAAUGAGGUCUUUGUCUUGACUGUGUGGAAAGGGGUUGCGCUCUCAUCCACAAUGAUCCACAGUUCAGUUCCUGCUCAGUUUGAGCAACAAACCCAUUAUUGUCAUGGAAAGGAAUGCGUCUGUUAUAGCAUAGUUGAUACGGCUGCUGAAAUUCAUCUAGAAUCACCUUUUCUUUGAUCAUUCUGGAUAAAAGAACACUGGUUUGGAAAUUGGAAUGUGCAUUUUACAAAUAAAGCUUAAUGGUUUCUCCUGAGAGGAACAAAAACCUUUCAAAUGAA